UGUGUGUGUGUGUUUAUAUAUAUGUGUGUAGUCAAUUCAAGGAUAUCUUAUCCUCAUUAGGGAUUAAUAAAUCCAAAAUUUCACUGGUUUAAUCUCCAUCACAUUAGAAGAAAAUGUCUACAUUGUGUAAUGGAUAAUGAACUAUGUACCAAAAGAAAAAUAGGAAAAU